rnacentral:rRNA from 1 species
UACGGGGGGGGCAAGCGUUGUUCGGAAUUACUGGGCGUAAAGGGCUCGUAGGCGGCCAACUAAGUCGGACGUGAAAUCCCCAGGCUUAACUUGGGAACUGCGUCCGAUACUGGAUGGCUUGAAUCCGGGAGAGGGAUGCGGAAUUCCAGGUGUAGCGGUGAAAUGCGUAGAUAUCGGGAGGAACACCAGUGGCGAAGGCGACUUCCUGGCCUGUUCUUGACGCUGAGGCGCGAAAGCUAGGGUAGCAAACGGG